UACGGAGGAUCCAAGCGUUAUCCGGAUUUAUUGGGUUUAAAGGGUGCGUAGGCGGUCCUAUAAGUCAGUGGUGAAAGACGGCAGCUUAACUGUCGCAGUGCCUUUGAUACUGUAGGACCUGAAUCUAUUUGAAGUGGGCGGAAUAAGACAAGUAGCGGUGAAAUGCAUAGAUAUGUCUUAGAACUCCGAUUGCGAAGGCAGCUCACUAAGUUAGUAUUGACGCUGAUGCACGAAAGCGUGGGGAUCAAACAGG
rnacentral:misc_RNA from 1 species